UAAUGUUUCUCACUAGCAGUCUGGGCAUAUGCUGGUGUUUCAUCUCUGCCCAAAUAAUUCACCUCCUAACCUAUGUGUGUGUGUGUGCACAUGGAUGUGUGUGCCUGAGUGUGUGAGUGUGUGUGUGUGUGUGUGUGUGUGUGUGUGUGUGUGUGUUUAUGAACAGUAUAGGUUUUAAAAGAACAGUAUUUUACAAAAGCCAUCACUUUUAUAAGAGUUCUGUAAAGGAAGGAUGUACUUCUUCGCUCACUAUAGUUUAAAAAAAAUUCUAUUUUAGAGGAAAAAAAAAGAAAAUAUGAGGGCUCUGAGCAUGACUUUUAUAACUAGUUUCAGUUUUAUCUAAUAACUUACUUUUAAAAAAUCAAUAUUUAUCAAUAAUUUUCAUGUAUGCUGUGCUUUUUGAGAGACAUGUUUGGCUGUUCAGUAAAGCAUAAGAGUAUAUGGCCUAAGAAUCAAAAAGAAAUGAAAAAAUAAAAUAAAAAGAGGGAAAAGAAAAAUGAAAAGGGAAGAAAGAAGAUGGAGCAAACAGAAAUUUCUAUUGUAUUUUAGGAAAAUGCAUCAUUUUCAAGUAUUUUAAAUACUGAGUUAAUAUUGUUAUUUUUUUUUUAAUUCCAGCAGUAACAAAAUGGUUUAACCUAACUGGCUUGCUAAGAAACGUGUAAGUCUUAGAUUUGAAAGAAUUUAACAUUCAUAGCUCUGGAUUGAAAUCAAAGGUCAUUUUCUGCAAAAUUCCUUCCUUAGAUCAGGUCAGUGCUCUGCUCCCUUCAAAAUAGAAGGGGCAAGCUAGAGUGGCAGAGCUUGUGGCUUCUAUCUGACACUUGCUUUGGGUAAACAGGACCUUUCCCUCCUGCCUGCAUGUAUAGCACUUG
rnacentral:lncRNA from 1 species